rnacentral:rRNA from 1 species
UACGUAGGGUGCGAGCGUUGUCCGGAAUUAUUGGGCGUAAAGGGCUCGUAGGCGGUUUGUCGCGUCGGGAGUGAAAACUCAGGGCUUAACCCUGAGCCUGCUCCCGAUACGGGCAGACUAGAGGUAUGCAGGGGAGAACGGAAUUCCUGGUGUAGCGGUGAAAUGCGCAGAUAUCAGGAGGAACACCGGUGGCGAAGGCGGUUCUCUGGGCCAUUACUGACGCUGAGGAGCGAAAGUGUGGGGAGCGAACGGG